GGGAUGGGGCCCCCAGCGUCUCGUCCGCCCCGCGCCUCAGGCAGAGCGAGGGACAGAGACUUUAUGGCUUUCUGAGACAGCUGGAUCAAGAAAGGGUCCAUAUGCAGAAGGGCAGGCUGGCAGUGUCCUGGGGAGAGACCCCUACCUUUUGAGCAUCACUAGCAACCUACUGGGAGACCAGGAUCCUGGAGAAGUCAAGAUCAGCCCCAAAGUCCCUCAUCAAUUGUGAUGGAGGGAACAGAGGGAAGUCCCAAUUGCAACCUGCACCCAUCGCUGUGCAUGCCCAUGUUGUGUGUGUACAUUAUUUACCUACUAUGAGCACGGCCUCAUUAGAACAACCUCAGGGGAGGGGAGCAGGACUCCCCACUUUACAGAUGAGAAAAAUAAGGCUCUGAGAGGUAAAAAAGGACUCGCUCAAAGUCAGCAGCAGAGCCAAAUACCAAGGUUUAUCAUCUUGUUAGUGUCUCCCCAACCGCCCCCCGACCUGUUAACACAGCCAUCAUUCCUACAUCGCAGGGAGAAAAAUUGUUAACAAGACGGCUGGAACCUCAAGCCACAGGAGCUGUGGGCCCAGAGAAGGCAGGGCCAUUCCUCUUAAGUGUAAAAGCCGUGGGGUGAGGGCAUGCGGGAAGGGAGUGAGAGCUAUAGUUUGCUGGAAAUCUGAAGAACCAAAUGACCUUGGGCCUCCAAACAUGAGACAAAACAGAGUUCAGGGGUAAGCGCUCCUCCCCAUCCCUUCUAGUGUCCCUCGGAUGCAGAUCUGGCUCAAUUUCCAGGUAUCUGUGAAAGGAAGGGUUCC
rnacentral:lncRNA from 1 species